UACGUAGGGAGCAAGCGUUGUCCGGAAUCAUUGGGGUACGUAAAGCGCGCGUAUGGUGGCUUCAUAAGUCCGUUUGUGAAAGUCAAAGGCUCAACCUUUGAAAGCCGAUGGAUACUGUGGAGCUAGAGUUACGGAAGAGGCGAGUGGAAUUCCUGGUGUAGCGGUGGAAUGCGCAGAUAUCAGGAGGAACACCAAUAGCGAAGGCAGCUCGCUGGGACGUUACUGACACUGAGGCGCGAAAGCGUGGGGAGCGAACAGG
rnacentral:rRNA from 1 species